UACGGAGGGGGCGAGCGUUAUUCGGAAUUAUUGGGCGUAAAGGGCUCGUAGGCGGUUUGUCGCGUCGGGAGUGAAAACACCGGGCUUAACUCGGUGCUUGCUUUCGAUACGGGCAGACUAGAGGUAUGCAGGGGAGAACGGAAUUCCUGGUGUAGCGGUGAAAUGCGCAGAUAUCAGGAGGAACACCGGUGGCGAAGGCGGUUCUCUGGGCAUUACCUGACGCUGAGGAGCGAAAGUGUGGGGAGCGAACAGG
rnacentral:rRNA from 1 species